GACAUGGAGCUGAGUUAUUCGGAUCUUAAAAGGCAGGAGCAUGGGCCACGUAGACAUGGUGGAGAUGUAGGUGGGCCAGCAAUGGCUGGACCGAAUGGACCAGAUGGAGGGAAUGGACCACCUAAUGGGAUGAAAUUCCCUCCUCCUGGGGCCGGGAGUAGUCGGAGAUGGUUAGAUGAGGUGGAGGGUUCGUCCGCAUUGUUGUUCAAUACGUGUAAUGAUCUGGAACAUCCGUUUAUCAAGUAUAUCGCUGAUCAGACUGAUAAACCGGUCUACGGUGUGGGCCCGCUCUUGCCCGAAAAGUACUGGAAAUCAAGCGGUUCAAUUUUACAUGACGGUGAGUUUAGAUCAAAUCGGAAGUCGAAUUACACAGAAGACCAGGUGGUUCAAUGGAUGGAUUCAAAACCACAUCAGUCCGUGAUUUACGUGUCAUUUGGUAGUGAAGUUGGGCCUAGCUUGGAGGAAUACGCGGAAUUAGCCCAUGCAUUAGGGGAGUUGAACCGACCGUUUAUAUGGGUGAUUCCACCGAAUUCGGGAAGAGCCGGUCCACCACCUGGUCUUAUAGGUGAUGAAUACGGUUCACAAACUAAAGAAGAAGGUUUCUAUCCACAUGGGUUGGAAGAGAAUGUCGGUGACAGAGGAUUGGUGAUAAAUGGAUGGGCACCACAGCUGCUAAUUUUGAGCCAUCCAUCUCUUGGUGGAUUUUUGUCUCAUUGUGGAUGGAAUUCUACAGUUGAAUCCAUUGCCCGGGGAGUCCCAAUUUUGGCUUGGCCAAUCAGGGGUGACCAAUUUCAUAAUGCCAAAUUGGUCGUAAAACAUUUGAAGGCGGGGCAUAUGUUGCGGACAGGUGAUGAUCCAAAAGAAAUGGUCAAAAAGGAUGGCAUUAUCCGAGGUAUUGACCUUCUGCUGGAUGACAAAGAGGUUCACAAGCAAGCAGUGGCGGUAAGAAGCAGAUUCAAGAAUGGUUUUCCAGCAAGUUCAGUGGCUGCUUUGAAGUCCUUUCUUGAAGCUAUAGUCAAGAAGAAUUAAGCAGAUUAUCGAUAUGAAGAGACGGAUCAUAUGAGCAUUUGUAAUAUCUAUUGGUUUGACAGAUUGAUAAUGGACUGCCCAAGAGAGUAGUAUAUUGCAAAUUGUCUGCCACACAGCUAUCUGUCUUUUCUUUGUUUUUUUGGUGAAAUCUGUCUUUUCCUUGUGUUGGGUAGAGGGGCCUGCCCAUUCUGAUAUCGCCGAGGGGCGUGGGGCUGAUAACUUUCCGGGCUUGAUUUGUAGGCUUGUAUAGAUGACACAGAAGCAACCGAGAAAGAAAUAUACGAUCUUCUUUCGAAAUGUUUCAAGAGAAAAAAAAAAAAAGGAAUAAAACGCACUCAAGAGAAAAAUUGAUUAAAUCGAUCAAAUUAUUAUUAAAAGCGAAAUACAUACCCUAGCUACGAACUUUUCAUAGGCGAGGUACACUUUUUGUUUGAAUUAUCAUUUUCUUCCAAAAAUUUUUACAUUUUUCGUGAAUCCAUCGUCCAAUAACUUUUUUAUCUUAUAUAUAUAAAACCUCCGCAAUAUGUUUUUUAAUAAUAACCUCUAGAAAAUAGCAAUCUAAACUAGCAAUAAACCCAAAAUACUAAUGACGAGUCAUAUUUAUGGUCAAAUGAUCUAACACUGAAUCACUUAAAUAGAACCAAACCAGAGACAAUCCAGCUUGUGAUCCAAACAAAAGAGUCAAGAGACAAUCCAACUCGUGAUUCAUUGAUGUUUUCUCUGGCAACCCAAAGCGGUUUAGGACGGAAGCAACUAAAAAAAUAAAUAAAAUUAGUAGAACCUAGAUCAAUUUAUUACAGCUACCCUAAAUAUUUUCAUGGAAAACUUUAUUGCAUGUUGUUAGGCCCCAAAUAAUUUUUUGUUACAGCUACCCUCUGUGUGUGUGUGCCUCCAUUUAUCUGAUUUACCGUCUAGGAAUGGUGUGAUUUUUUUUUUUUUUGGUUACCAUCUUGUUAUUUAACAUUUUGACAUUGAGGAGGAGCAAGUGGCUAGGAUUGAAAAGCGAAUCAAGCUGCUCGAUACUCAAAUCGAGUUCUGCUCAAUUACGAGUUUGUUUGAAUUUGAUUCACUAACUAAUCAAAUCAAAUUGUGACGAUAUUUUUUAUUUUAUAAACUUUUGAGUUCAACUCCAUUAGCAUAAAAGUAAAAUUUUACAUAUAAAAUAUUCAAAUUACUCGAUCUCAAACUCAAUAAAAGUUUGUUCGAAUUUGGUUCGAAAAAUAAACAAGUCAAAUUUAAACAAAAUAAUCAACCAAACUUAAAUAGAAGAAUAUUUGGUUUGUUUAUAUUCGUUUACACUCUUACUAGUGGCAAGAUUCAAUUAGUAUCCUAUUCGUGAAUAUGCAAUUUAUUUUGGCCCCAUGAUGGCCUACACAUCUUAAUAUCUUAUCUCCAAGUUUAAUAUUCUUCAUUGUUCACAUCCUCUGAGGCAUCAUUCACCAUUCUUUACAAAUUCCUUUCUGCAUUCAGUGCUAAAGCUCUCACGACUCUCAAAUAUCAGAACCAAUCUAAACGCAUGACAACAACUAAAGAGAUUUUUAUUAUUACAUUUUCUGGUUGUGGUCACCUUUUCCCUUGCAUAGAACCAUACAAACACCUCUCCUCUAGAAACUUCAAGGCCACCCUUGUACUCCCUUCCAACCUCUCCUCCUCCGCUCCCUCCUCCUUCAACCACCACCCUCUCCUCGUCACAGCCGACCCUUCUCUAGACACAACAUGGCCCAAGAGCAAGUGGGCCUGGACCUUGAGGCCCACUUGAGUAGUAGGUCCACUGGCCCAGAUUCAGCCCAUCUAGUGUGUGCCAUAAUCGACUUUCCAAUGGACUGGAUCAAAUACAUUAUUUGGGAGCAUAAUGUCCCUAUAGUCAACUUCUUUACUUUCGGCAUGUGUGCAGCUGUCAUGGAGUAGGGCGCGUGGAAAUCCCAAGCUAAAGCAGGUAGUCGGGGUGAGGUGCACACCAUCCCUGACUUACUAGAGGUUAUGCAUCAUACAUACUCCGAUUUCACGCGCCAUCCUAAACGGGUUCCAUGUACUGGCUGUUCACCUAGACGGGGUGAUCAACCAUCGUGGAUGCCAUUAAUAAAAGGUUCAAUUGCUUUGAUGUUCAACACGUGUGAUGAUCUGGAGCAUCCAUUUAUCGACUACGUGGCUAAUCAAACGGCCAUGCCAACUGACAUUUGCCGUGGGGCCAUUCCUGCAUGAGAAAUUUUGGGUGCCAACCAAGUCAUUAAUUAGUGAAACCCAAAUUAGACAGCCCAAGCACCAAAACAACUGUAGUGAAGAGCUAGUAGUGCAAUGGUUGGAUACAAAAUCGAGCAAAUCCGUCCUAUAUGCAGCCUUUGGUGGUGAAGUGGAUCGUACGGAAAAGGAAUGUACCCUGUUAGCAUGGGCUUUAGAAAAGUUGACCCACUCUUUCAUUUGGGUCAUUCGAUCAGGGUCGAGUUCAGGCCACCCAAACGUGGAAGGCAAAUUUAGUGACAGGGGCUUGAUCAGAAGAGGAUGGGCACCCCAACUAUUGAUAUUAAGCCGUCCAUCAAUAGGUGGAUUUUUAUCACAUUGUGGUGGAACUCAACACUUGAGGCCGUCUGCAUACGGGUGCCCAUAUUGGCAUGGCCCAUUAGGGGCGAUCAAAUUUUGAACGCUAAAUUAAUGGGCAUGGUGAAGAUUAUGAGUGAUGAAGAGGUUCACAAAAAUGCAGCAAUUCUUUGUUCUAAAUUUUGUUAUGGUUUUCCAAGUAGCUCCAAUUUUGCAUUUGAUGCUUUUACGAAUUUUAUUGAACAAAGUUUAGUUGAAAAUUACUGGCGAAUACCUUUAUUGUUCAACUGUAUGAUAAGUCUUUUGCUGAUAUUUCCUAUGUUAAGUCAUUUUCUUGCUAUGAAUUUUUCAGUUCUUUCUUGAUAAGCAUUAAGUAGACGACCACGAGUUUGGCUUGAUUAGAAUCUGUUUAAAAUGUAUCUUUAAACUAACCAAACAAAGUCUAAACCUACAAUUUCGAGUUGAAUACAUUUUAAGAUCGACUCUAGUAAAAUCUUGUUUACGUUUUGCUUGGUUAAUAAUCAAGCUGAAUUUUUAUUAUAUUUUAAGUUCUUUUAAAUAAUCCAUCCAAACUUGAACAUUAUAAUGUCAGCAUUGAAUAUUUCUUAUUUUCUUUAGCCCCAUCAAUAUAUAUAUACUUACAGUGAAUUAAAGAUUAAUUCAUUAAUUCAUAAAUAAAUGGCAUGCCACAUUUCUUGUGGAUUUGCCUCUCCAAAUUGGCUAGAGGGACCUCUGACCUAAAUGAAACUUAGGGCGGUGUAGUUGUAGUUUAGUUUAAUAAAAUACAAGAAGAUGAUGAGGCCACUGAAAUUAUUACAACAAAAGAUGAUAUAAUUGAAGCCAUUGAGAGACUAAUGAGUGAUGAAGAAUUUCAUGAGAGAGCAAAAGCACUACGCAACAAAGUUUUUAAGCAUGGUUUCCCUGCUAGCUCUCUGGCUUGUUUUAAAGCUUUAAGAGAUUUCAUUAGCCAAACUGUGCCUUAAUUAGAUAUGUUAUGAAUCAAACAGUGAAAGUAUAUACAUGAUCAGUGUAUAUAAAAUUACUCUAAAUUAAAUAGGUAUUUUGCUUUAGAAUGCAUGAAAAAGAAAGUUAUUUCAGAGCUUUUGAAAUAAGCUGAGUAUGGACCUUGGGUCAAUUUCGGUUGUCGAAUAAAUGGAUUUUAUUCUUCUUCAGAUUUAAUUCAGUAUGAAGUUGUACUACCAGUUGUUUCAUUAAGUCGUAACUCUACCUAUUAAAACUAAAAACAAAAACACACACAAAGUGACUCUUUAGUGUUUAUACAUGCAAAGCAAACUUUUGGAAUUAUAUAUUUGAAUUACCAAAAAUAUAUUAAAUAUGUUAUUGUGCACUUAAUCAAAUAAGUGAGUUCUUAGGGGAGAGAUGAGUUGGUUGAUUCGAAGGGAAGAAGUGUAAGUGAGAGGUUCCAGAUUUAAACCCUCCCACCUACACAUUUUAUUACAAAAAAAAAAAAAAAAAAAAGAGUCUCAGAGGUGGGGAGAGGAGGGAUGAGUUGGAUGGUUCCAAAAGAAAGAGUGUAAAUAAGAAGUUUUGCAUUCGAACCCUCCUGUUGAAACUAUUAAAAAAAACUGAGUCCAAAAUCCAGAUUACACAAAAUUGCUAGCCCACCUGGCACCAUUUUGGUCGAAAAUAUUGCGUUUGUUAGUAGGGCUGUAUAAAAUUCAUAUGUAUGUAUAAAAUUUAUAAAAUAAUGCAUAAAAUCUAUAACUAUACAUAUUGUAAUCUAACAAAUUAAUGUUGUACAUGAUUAUAUAAUAAUACAAAAAUGAAACAUAUAACAUAUAUAAUUAUGUAUUAAUUGUGAACUUGGACUAAACCUAAUACAGACCCAAAACCCUAAUAUAUUUGUGAGUUGAAUAUGAACAUUAGAAUAUAAGUUUAAAACCCGAAAUUCAAAAUUUCGAAAAUCUUUUUUUCUUUUGUGAGGUUUUGCCAAAACUCGACUCAUAAAACCCAAUUGAAAGUCGUACUUGUUAGCUGUUAUUCAUAUCAAUCAUCAAGCCAAUGCCAAAUCUCGUGACUUUGAAAUUUCCUAUAAUAUGGUUAAUCAGUAAUCCUAUCAGAUUCUAAACCAUACUUAACAAGAAAAGGUAUACUUGUCACUCCAAACCAUGAUAUCCUAUUCUACAAAGAAAACUUUGAUCCUUCUUGAACACAGUUUUUUUUAUCAAAGUUGUUGCCGGACAUCUUUGUCUCAAUUGAAUGCUGCAAGUGCAAGAUUGUGUAUAGAUCCUGUUGACCAAAAAACUAUCUCAUUUCCCUUGCCCUCACUCCUUUACUCAUGACGUGUGUGCUUACCCAACCUUCCAUUGUUUUAUUACUUAGCUGUGUGUAGCAUAUGUGAAUACCCUACAACGACUAAUGCCAAUUUAAUUUGGAUCCCCUCUGUGUCAAUUUUUGCUUCCCAACUAAGGUGUCGUUUUAAUUGCUAUUUUUUAGAGUUUUUGCAAAAAUUGUAUUGUAACAAUUUGAUAUAUAUGAGAAAAAAAAUAUGAUUAAAAAAUGUAUUGAGGAAAAAUUUUAAAAAUUUUCUUUAAAAAAUAGCAAUCCACUUAAGGCCUAAGACUCUCGGAUUGUCUUGUAUCCAAGAAAGGCGAAGUCUCCCAAUAAUAUUGGACUGGUUGCUUGAAAACCAAAAUAGAGAGCUGUAAAAGUAUGAUAAACCACGGUCCAAAGUAUAAUGACUAAUGGCUGUCUUGACUUCUGUGUUCUUCUUAAUAGAAAAUUUUUCUUUUCAAACGGGUUUUUAAUUUUCUACAACAGGAGAAAUUGUCCAUAAGCCUUAAGAGAAAUUUUUACCUCCCUUAAUCCUACUUUCUUUUAAAAAAAAAAUUCAGAUUAUCAACAUCCCUAGCCAUGGAAAAAUACAAAGGGGUGCACACCUAUGUUGACAUUAGUGACAAUAAAAUCUCCCGCAUAACACUUUCACUUUUUUAAAGUGAUAAAUUUAAAAAAUAAAAAGAGAAGAGGGUAACAUACGUACCAGAUUAUGAACUCUAUUGAUUUAAUGAAAGAGGGAUUAUUAUAUAAAUUUUUUUUUUUUUACACUGACAGUUUAUAUACUGUUGGCAUUAGAUGAAUGAUAACUAUGUAAAAUUUGAAUUUGAAAUUUAACAUUUGCAUAUUUGUCAUGGAUCUAACGAUAAUAAUGUAUACACUGUCAGUGUAUAUAAUAUUUACUCUGAGGAUAUAAGCAAAGAAACUUUUAAUCACUUAAACCACAUCGUAUUCUCGAGUUGAUUCUAUUCUAUCUGUAAUCUAAUAUAUCAAUAUCCCCUGUUCACAGAUGACAUUUGUGUGUAUACGUUUGUCGCUGUCCGUUUGCACGCAAACGUACCGAUAAAUCUUCUAAAUUACUGCGUCUUUUUCCAACCAAACACCUUAGGAUACCAAGUGUGUGAAAAAGUGUAAACCCUAAAUUUUGUUAUCCUCUGCAUUGGCUCCAACUAUCCAUGUCCCUUUUCUAACUGCCCAAAAACAAUUUGAAACCCAAUGCAGAUAGAAGAUUUAACAUAAGCAUAUUUGGAGGAAGUUGCUAAAAUGGAAGCUAGAGGAGAAAUUUUGGUUGUACCAUUUUUUGGGCAAGGCAAUUUUUUUCCCAUGCAUGGAGUUAUGCAAGCAUUUCUCAUCUCAUAACUACGUACAAAGCCAUUCUCAUGAUAUUCAAGUUGGCUUUUGAAAUAAGCUGAGUAUGAAGUUUUACUAUCAAUUGUUUCAGUCAGUGGUAACUCAUACUGAAAGUCUAAUGAGCUUGGAAGCAACUUAUUAUGCUUAAGCUUGGAUUAUUCAUUCCCCUUUAUCUAGUUAUAAAAGGGCAAAACGUAAAACAGAAAGGGACUGUUCAAGUGUCUGUACAUGCAAGGCAACUUUUUUUACAUUAAUUAAUUUCAUUUUAAGUUAAAUUUGCGUCAAAUUUAGACCUCAAAUGAAUAAGAUUUUGUUAAUUGAUUUCUACCUCUAAUUGAUAUGGUAUUGGUUUUAUUGUCCUUAUUAAAAAUUAAAAAUGGAAUGUAAAAUCAUGCCAUGUGUGAAUUUCUUUCCUUUUUGGCAAUACAGAUUCAAACUACUAACAAUCUUUUGAAAAAAAAAAAAAGUUACUGUAACAAUCUUUCAUUUUUUCAGUCUUUUGAAAAAGGUCAUUGUACACAGUUCAAAUCACUGAGCCCAGGAGUCCACAAAAUUGCCGGGCAUCCCGCUUGGUACCCUUUUGGUCCAAUCUAAUGCCACUUUUUCAGUCUACGACUUCAAUUCCAAUCGUAACAAGUUUCACUUAAACACAAAAAAAAAAAAAAAAAAGUGAGUUAUAAUAUGUGUGUUUUGAUAUAAAAUUAUCUCAAAUAUUGUUUUGCUUACAUUUAUAAACAUAUUUUUCAACCCACUCUUUUAUAUUCACAAUUAUUUUUUUAUUUUACAUACACCAUAUCACAAAAAAUAUUAUAAUAAUUAUUUCAAAUAAUAUCCUAUCCAAACACUGCACAGAUAUAUCUGCUUCUCUCACGGUCCAAUCAACUUACUCAGUAAAAUGCCACCAUGGAGUAUAAUUGGCUUAUUUGGGAAUGCAAAUAUCAUAAUAUUGAGUAUUUUAGGUGUUAUUCCAAUCAAUCAUCGAGCCAAGGCAAAAUCUUGUGACUUGAAAUUUCCAAUAUAAUGGUUAAUUAGUCAUCCUAUCAGAUUCUAAACCAUACUUUAACCCGAAGAGAUAAAGGUUGCCACCCCACUCCACAUGAUAUCACUAUUUAAUAAAGGAAAAUUUGAUUCUCCUUCAUUGUUUCUUUUCUUCAACGGUCGACGACAUUUAUCCUAUCAUAUUCUAAAGAGAAAGGGAAUCCAACUAAGUUGUAUAAGAAGUUAAAAGGAAAGAUAAACUCAUCUAGACUAAAUGAAUACUCUGACACAUCAAAACGUGGGGUUUAAAAACUUCGACUUGUGACUCAAAAUACGAUUUUAAAACCCUUUUAGCGGCCAACUUGUGCGAGACAGGUUGGUUUGACGCUCCUUCAUUACAGUUGAUGAAAGUUGCCGGACAUCUUUUGAAUGCUGCAAAUGCAAGAUUGUGUGGACGCGUUGACUGUAAAACAAUCAGUUGCCUUGGCCCUCACCCCUUCACUCAUGACGUGUGUGCUUACCCAAGUUUCCGUUGUGCUAUUACUUAGCGGUGUAUUGCUCACGUGAAUUCCCGACACCGACCAACGUCAAUUCAAUUUGGAUCUUGUCCGUGUCGGUUUUUUUGCUUAGCAACUAAGACUCUGGGAUUGUCCCGGAGCAUCCAAGCAACGCAAAGUCUCCCAACUUAUUGGACUGGUAGCUUGGAAACUAAAAUAGAGCACGUGCACGCGUGAGCUUUCUUGAAAUUGUGAUAAAUCAUGGUCUAAAAUAUAAGGACUAAUUGCUAUUUGGAUUUCAAUUAUCCGCUAAUAUAGUCAUAUUUUUUUCUCAACAAAAAAAAGAUUAAUCUUUCCUACAUUAACAGUAUAUUUAUUGUUAGUUUUGAAUGAAUGACAACUAUGCAAAAUUUGAAUUUGAAAUCCAACUUUUACAUAUGUGUCAUGAAUUUAACAAUGAUAAUGUACACAGUAUCAGUGUAUAUAAAAAAUUCCAUUUCAAAUGGGGUUUUAAUUGUUUACAACAGAAAAAAUUAUCCACAAGCCUUAAGGGCAACUUUUAUCUGAUUACCUCCCUUUAUCUUCCUUUUCUUUUAAAAAAGAAAAAUAUCAAAUUAUCGACAUCCCCAGCCAUUGAAAAAUGUAAAAGCAGUGCCGUUGCCGUGUUAAUUUUAAUCUAAUUCGUAAUCUAUAUAAAUUACUACUAUAUCAAUCGCCUGUUCACAGUUGACACAUGUAUGUAUAUGCUUGUCACUGUCCAUUUUUUUUGCUAAAACGUAACGAUAAAUCCUCCAAAAUACUACACUAAUGUUGCAUCCCUUUCCAACCAAACAGUCAAACCUAAGUACACUAACUGUGCGAAAACGUAUAAAUCCUAAAAUUUGUUAUCCUUUGCUUUGGCUUCAAGUUUCCGUGUCCUCCUUGUGUUCUAUAAAUACCCAAAAACAAUAUGAAAUCUUUGCAGGUUGAAGAUUUAACAUAAGCAUAUUUGGAGGAAGUUGCUAACAUGGAAGCUAGAGGAGAAAUUUUGGUUGUACCUUUUUUUGGGCAAGGCCAUCUUUUCCCAUGCAUGGAGUUAUGCAAGCAUUUCUCAUCUGAUAACUACAAAGCCAUCCUCAUCAUCCCUUCUCAUCUAUCUUCAUCUGUUCCCUCCUCUGUCAGGGGACUUUCUUUGGUUGAAGUGGUUGAAAUUCCCAACUCACCUUCAUCAUCUCCACCGCAUCCUCCGCUGCCGCCACCAUCGGAGAUGACAACACCACCACCACCAGCAUUACUGCCUGAACUGCUAGAUGGAUCGAGACCCGGACCCGGAUUUGGGCCAGGACCCGGCCCACUUCGCCAUCACCAUCAGCAAAUGGGAAGUGGACUUGAAGCAUACCUUUCUCAAAAGUGUGGGGAGUUGGGUCAGACCCGACGCGUUUGUGCUGUGCUUGAUGUGAUGAUGAGCUGGAGCAAAGAGUUUUUUGUGAAGUUUGAGAUACCGACAGUUUCUUUUCUUACUUCUGGUGCUUGCUCUGCUGCUAUGGAAUAUGCUGGUUGGAAGGCUCAGGUGCGUGAUAUGAAACCAGGUGAGAUCCGAAAGUUUGAUGGGUUACCGGAAGACAUGGAGCUGAGUUAUUCGGAUCUUAAAAGGCAGGAGCAUCAUGGGCCACAUAGACAUGGUGGAAAUGUAGGUGGGCCAGCAAUGGAUGGACCGAAUGGACCACCGGGUUGGAGGAGAUUUGGCAGACCAGAUGGAGGGAAUGGACCACCUAAUGGGAUGAAAUUAGGUCCUCCUGGGGCCGGGAGUAGACCGAGAUGGUUAGAUGAGGUGGAGGGUUCGUCCGCAUUGUUGUUCAAUACAUGUAAUGAUCUGGAACAUCCGUUUAUCA
rnacentral:lncRNA from 1 species